rnacentral:rRNA from 1 species
GAACGCUGGCGGCGUGCUUAACACAUGCAAGUCGAACGAUGAAGAAGAGAAACGCGCCCUUCGGUUCAAAUUUCACUUCGGAUUAGUGGCAGACGGGUGAGUAACGCGUGAGCAACCUACCUCUUACAAAGGGAUAGCCUCGGGAAACCGUGAUUAAUACCAUAUGACACAUUCAUAAGGCAUCUUAAGAAUGUUAAAGCUACGGCGGUAAGAGAUGGGCUCGCGUCCCAUUAGCUAGUUGGUGAGGUAACGGCCCACCAAGGCGACGAUGGGUAACCGGCCUGAGAGGGUGAACGGUCACAUUGGAACUGAGACACGGUCCAAACUCCUACGGGAGGCAGCAGUGGGGAAUAUUGCACAAUGGAGGGAACUCUGAUGCAGCGACGCCGCGUGAGCGAUGAAGGAAUUCGUUUCGUAAAGCUCUGUUCUAUGGGAAGAAAAGGACUGUACCAUAGGAGAAAGCCCCGGCUAAAUACGUG